CACGGGGGGAGCAAGCGUUGUUCGGAAUCACUGGGCGUAAAGGGCGUGUAGGCGGUCAGGUUAGUGAGAUGUGAAAUGCCCCGGCUCACCCGGGGACCUGCAUCUCAAACUGCCUGGCUUGAGUAUGGGAGAGGAUGAGGGAAUUCCUGGUGUAGCGGUGAAAUGCGUAGAUAUCGGGAGGAACACCAGUGGCGAAGGCGACUACCUGGCCUGUUCUUGACGCUGAGGCGGCGAAAAGCUAGGGGAGCAAACGGG
rnacentral:rRNA from 1 species